GACGAACGCUGGCGGCGUGCCUAAUACAUGCAAGUAGAACGCUGAAGCUUGGUGCUUGCACCGAGCGGCUGAGUUGCGAACGGGUGAGUAACGCGUAGGUAACCUGCCUGGUAGCGGGGGAUAACUAUUGGAAACGAUAGCUAAUACCGCAUAAGAGUAGAUGUUGCAUGACAUUUGCUUAAAAGGUGCAAUUGCAUCACUACCAGAUGGACCUGCGUUGUAUUAGCUAGUUGGUGAGGUAACGGCUCACCAAGGCAACGAUACAUAGCCGACCUGAGUGGGUGAUCGGCCACACUGGGACUGAGACACGGCCCAGACUCCUACGGGAGGCAGCAGUAGGGAAUCUUCGGCAAUGGACGGAAGUCUGACCGAGCAACGCCGCGUGAGUGAAGAAGGUUUUCGGAUCGUAAAGCUCUGUUGUAAGAGAAGAACGAGUGUGAGAGUGGAAAGUUCACACUGUGACGGUAUCUUACCAGAAAGGGACGGCUAACUACGUG
rnacentral:rRNA from 1 species